rnacentral:rRNA from 1 species
UACGGGGGGGGCAAGCGUUGUUCGGAAUUACUGGGCGUAAAGGGCGCGUAGGCGGCCCACUAAGUCGAACGUGAAAUCCCCGGGCUCAACCCGGGAACUGCGUCCGAUACUGGUGGGCUUGAAUCCGGGAGAGGGAUGCGGAAUUCCAGGUGUAGCGGUGAAAUGCGUAGAUAUCUGGAGGAAUACCGGUGGCGAAGGCGGCAUCCUGGACCGAGAUUGACGCUGAGGAGCGAAAGCUAGGGGAGCAAACGGG